UACAGAGGUCUCAAGCGUUGUUCGGAUUCAUUGGGCGUAAAGGGUGUGUAGGUGGCGCCGUAAGUCGGGUGUGAAAUUUCGGAGCUUAACUCCGAAACUGCAUUUGAUACUGCGGUGCUUGAGGACUGGAGAGGAGACUGGAAUUUACGGUGUAGCAGUGAAAUGCGUAGAUAUCGUAAGGAAGACCAGUGGCGAAGGCGGGUCUCUGGACAGUUCCUGACACUGAGACACGAAGGCCAGGGGAGCAAACGGG
rnacentral:rRNA from 1 species